rnacentral:rRNA from 1 species
UGGGGAAUAUUGCACAAUGGGGGGAACCCUGAUGCAGCCAUGCCGCGUGAAUGAAGAAGGCCUUCGGGUUGUAAAGUCCUUUCGGUGACGAGGAAGGUUGGUAGGUUAAUAGCCUAUCAAAUUGACGUUAAUCACAGAAGAAGCACCGGCUAACUCCGUGCCAGCAGCCGCGGUAAUACGGGGGGUGCGAGCGUUAAUCGGAAUAACUGGGCGUAAAGGGCACGCAGGCGGUGACUUAAGUGAGAUGUGAAAGCCCCGAGCUUAACUUGGGAAUUGCAUUUCAUACUGGGUCGCUAGAGUACUUUAGGGAGGGGUAGAAUUCCACGUGUAGCGGUGAAAUGCGUAGAGAUGUGGAGGAAUACCGAAGGCGAAGGCAGCCCCUUGGGAAUGUACUGACGCUCAUGUGCGAAAGCGUGGGGAGCAAACAGGAUUAGAUACCCUGGUAGUCCACGCUGUAAACGAUGUCGAUUUGGGGAUUGGGCUUUGAGCUUGGUGCCCGUAGCUAACGUGAUAAAUCGACCGCCUGGGGAGUACGGCCGCAAGGUUA